UACGUAGGGGGCAAGCGUUAUCCGGAAUUACUGGGUGUAAAGGGUGAGUAGGCGGCAUGGUAAGCCAGAUGUGAAAGCCUUGGGCUUAACCCGAGGAUUGCAUUUGGAACUAUCAAGCUAGAGUACAGGAGAGGAAAGCGGAAUUCCUAGUGUAGCGGUGAAAUGCGUAGAUAUUGGGAAGAACACCAGUGGCGAAGGCGGCUUUCUGGACUGAAACUGACGCUGAGGCACGAAAGCGUGGGGAGCGAACAGG
rnacentral:rRNA from 1 species